AGGUGGCAGAGAAGUUAAUGAUUAUGCACGAAGAAUGUUAGGAAGGUAAUUAUCAAUCUAUUGAGAAAUUGAGGACUACAAAUCCUCCACCAGUCGCUCAUGUCAAACCGUUUACCGAGGAUCAUGAG